rnacentral:misc_RNA from 1 species
UGAUUACGUCCCUGCCCUUUGUACACACCGCCCGUCGCUACUACCGAUUGGAUGACUUAGUGAGGUCUUAGGACCGAAGUGAAGGAGCUUUAAUUAGCUCUUUUACUUUGGAAAUUUGAUCGAACUACGUUAUCUAGAGGAAGUAAAAGUCGUAACAAGGUUUCCGUAGGUGAACCUGCGGAAGGAUCAUUAACGAGCUAAGAAAAUAUAUAUAUCGAGAAUCGUCGUUGGAAAAUUAUCUCGGAAGAAAAGUGGGAAAAUGAAUAGCUUUUCUCCGAGAGAGACGACGAGACUUGAUAAAAUAUCAAACUGACGGUGAAACGCGGUAGGCGCUAAACUGCGCGAGUCCGUCGUCAGUAUUUGAUAUAAAUAUAUACAUAUAUCAGACGAUCGGGACUAAGCGCGGCGAAUGGAAAAUAAAGUAGUCCGCUUAGUUCUUCUUCGGGUAUCUAUCGAAUUCUAACGUUACAGUUAUACGUCUGGCUGUAGUCGAGACGCGUUAGAUUCGGAACCCUUAACGCGUAUUACGCGUUAAGGCGAGAUUUAAAGAGUCGUUGGCUCCGAGGAAAAUUGGAGCGACUGUUUACGCGUCUAGGAAAUCUAAACGCGCGAGUGUUGCCGCUUGAGUACAGAGAUCGGAAAUAUGAAUAAUCUCUAGUAUACGCUCAUCGGUACUCCGCGUUUUAGGCGCGCUUUGCAGUUCGGGAUACUCUAUUAGUAUAAAAUAUAGAGUAUCCGGGCGACCGCCCGAAACCAAAAAAAAGAUAUAAAAGCAUAAUAUAAACUCUGCGGAGUUUAAAAAUAUAUAGAAUCCUAGAAGAUUCCAUUCUAAGCGGUGGAUCACUAGGCUCGCGGGUCGAUGAAGAACGGGGCCAGUCCCGAGAAUAAGUGCGAAUUGCAGACACAAAGAGCAUCGACUUUUCGAACGCAUAUUGCGGUAUCGGGCCUGCUCGAUACCACGCCUAUCUGAGGGUCGAAUAAGAGAACGUACUAAAUCGUUAUUUGGCCAUUGCCUGUCGGUAAAGACGGUAAAGAGAGAGAGAAAACUCGCCAAAGAGAAAAUGGCUUGAGACUGCGUAUAUAUAUUGAAAAUAUAAACGCAUCCGUUAAGUCUUAACGUAAAGAACCGUGGGGAAAUAGUAGCCUAACCGAUCAUUUGGGAAAUCAUAUGAUCGCGCUAGACGAAUUACGCGGGGUACCAGUAAUAAUAUAGCUGGUGGCGAAUUUACUACUAUAUAUGCGUAAAUGAAUGAAUAUUCGGCGCUUUUGUCGUAUAUUUAUCAUAUAUGGUAUGGAGUCGUCGCUUCCUAUAUAUAUAUCAAGCGGUAGUAGAUGUCUCGUAUUAGCGUUCGCCAACUCUUUGUAACCGGGAAAGCGUUACUACUAAUGGAGAGGAGUGCGAAGGAAAGUAUACGCUAAGAGCCGCGAGAAAGCGUCUCAAAAUAUGAUCGCUUAUAUCGAAAUUUGACCUCAGAUUAGACGUGAAAACCCGCCGAAUUUAAGCAUAUAACUAGGCGGAGGAAAAGAAAUUAACGAAGAUUUCCUUAGUAACGGCGAGUGA